CUUGUGGUUGAAGAAACUUAUUUAUCUCUUGUAGAUGAACAUGGUGUUCUUGGAGUCGCUUCGCCUGUACGGACCAGUAUCAUAUUUCUCCAGAGAUGCAACAAAGGAUCUGACGCUAGGGCACCUAAAGAUCCCCAAGGGCACAACGAUAGUUUUCCCUCUUAUGAAGAUGCACAGCGACAAGGCCGUUUGGGGAUCAGACGCUGAUAAGUUCAACCCGCUGCGAUUUGAAAACGGCGUUUCCAGAGCCGCUAGUCACCCAAACGCUCUCCUCGCGUUCUCAAUGGGACCAAGAGCUUGCAUUGGCCAAAACUUUACAAUGAUUGAAGCCAAGGUCGUGCUCACCAUGAUCCUUCAACGGUUCAGGCUUAGCCUCUCAGGCGAGUAUAAACACGCGCCGGUGGAUCACCUCACUCUAACUCCUCAGUACGGCUUACCCGUAAUGCUUCAGCCUCUGUGAGCCUUUAUGAGCCAAAGAGUUAUCAAAUCCUAUAUCGUGCUUUAAGCCGGUUUAAAUAAAUAGUGAUGUGUGCUACUACUUAACUAAACUGCUAUGUGCUAAUUGAUACUUUUUCAGUUGCAUAAUAUAAGAUGGAUGUCUUAUAGAAGAUCUUUUGUUACUUUCAAAACAAUUUUAAUUUUAUUAAAAACUGGUCAACCAAUAUUUAUGAUUGAUUAAUUCAUCUUAAACUUAUACUAUUAAUAGUGAUUUUAACAAAUUUCUCUUCAUUCUCUUGUGCUCAGCGAAGGAACUUCCUAAGCAUACUUUUUUGGAUUAUUUUUAAAAAAAGUAAAUUUACUAAUUCUUGUGAUUUUAGCCAAAGCAUCUUACGUUAUGGAACAUAUGGAGUAUUUGCUUAUCCUGUAGAGGAGAACAAAACUAUCAAAUAUAAUUGAAAAGUAGAAUGUUUUACAUCUUUAUCAGAUAAAUCACAUGUCUGAACCAAUAGCAAGAGGUAAUAAAUAACACUAUGUUAAGUGUUCUAUCACUUGCCUAUUCCAUUUUGUUUUGGAACUCAGAUGUGUCAUAGACACGAGCAGUGUGAUCAACAGAGACCGACACAAUGAACUCGGUGUUGGCGGAAACUGAGAUGGACUGGACCGCAUCCUGGUGGCCAUGGAAGGUGUGGACGCAGUUGCCUAAUAAGCUGUCCCAAACGCUCACUGUACCAUCAGCACAGCCUGUGGCUAAGUACUUUGAGGUUCCUAUCCAACUUACGCAUGUCACACCUUCCUAUAACAAAGAAAUAGUGAAGAAGGGCUUAUUGUUUACAUUCCAAUCUCUGUUUAGUAUUCUAUCUCAUAAGAGAAAACUAAAAGAGUGAGGAUCAUACCGCGUGCUCGCAGAUGAACCUAGGAGUUGAGUGUUGCAGAUCCCAGAUUACAAGCUUCUUGUCCAUCCCACCUGUUGCAGCCAUAGGGAUAGUUGCGGAGCUUGGUGAAAACUUCACGCAUUCAACUGACUCUGUAUGAGAACUCAGAGAGCUCACAACCUGUUGUUAUGAAGUUAGACGCACACAGACAUACGCAGAGAAUUUGAUAACUGAGAUGAAGCAAUGAAAACAAACCUUUCCAGUGACUAUAUUGACAAUGUGAACAGAACCGUCUUUUGAGCCACUGAUAGCGAGACUGGAGUUGGAGUUAAUGUCCAAGCAUAUCAACCCUUCCGUAUGAUACGGAUGACCUACAUGAAAACCAAAGGUUAGCAUUCUACAGCAACAUGUAAAAACCAAUAGAGGGAGUGAGUUUAACUUGCCUUUAACCACAUGAAUGCUUUCACAAGUCUUCGGGUUCCACACAAUCAAACUACCAUCAUCAGAGCCGGUACAGAUUAGUUUACCUUCAGGAGUAAAGUCACCGCAAGUGACACUCUGAUUGUGACCAGAGAACAUAUUGAGGUAAGCCUCUUUAUCAGCAUUCCACAUCCACAUAGAACAAUCUUCUGAACCAGCCAACACAAUGUGUCCUCUCGGAUGCCACUUCACCCACUGAUUAAGAAGAUAACACAGUAAGUAUAAUCUUCUGACUUAAUUGUUAUCAAGGACAAGUUUUUCUAAUACCUCGAUGCCACUACCAGGACCGUCUAAAACACAUUUCAAAGUCCCUGAGGAUGCAUCAAAGAUCUGAACGACACCGUCCAACCCUCCAGAGGCAAGUAACUGUCCGUCGUAGCUAAAAGCUAGAGAAGAAACAGAGUCUUUGUGAGCGGGAAGCUCAGCAGCCCAAUCUCCGUUGCCGAUUUUCCAGAGGAAGGCUUUGUCAUCUCCGCCUCCGGUUGCUACAAGGGUGGGGUCUAGAGGGCUACAUGUCAAUGCAUAAAGCUCACCUGCGUAAAGAAAAUCGUUCUUAGUUUCACGAAAACAACAAACAUUGAAGUGAUAAAAGUGGUUUACCUUUGUGACCGGUGAAUGUGUGAACUGAGUCAUCGUUUUCAUCUACGGAAACAAAGCAAUAAGAACGAAGGAAGAGUCACACACAUGUUAUAAACACAAGCUACUAACACAAGAGGUGGUGAUUGAGAUAGUACCAAACACUUCAUCCUCAUUGUCGUUGUCAUUAUCAUCUUCAUCAUAUGCGUCAGGAAGAUCUGAGUUUACAUAACAAGAGUCAUACAAAAGUACAUAUGAUUCAAAAGGUUAAGACUUUAAGAAGGAGAGAGAUGAAGAUGAAGAAAAAGGAGAAACCUUCUCCGUCGACAUCGAUUUCAUGGAGGACAUCGGAUUCACCGAGGAAAACGUCUCCCUCGUCUUCUUCUUCCAUUGCUGGAUUAUUCAUAUCCCUGUUACUCAUCUUCUCCUCAGUUAUCACAGAAUCUUUUUACAACUAACACGACAAAGAAGCAGCAGCAGCGAAGAAGAAGACAGACGCGACGAGGCGGCGGACGGAGGGGGAGGGGGAGGCGUGACGUGUCACGGCGUUAGAGGAGGGAGGAGACAGAGAGUACAAAACCCUUAUUUUUGCCUCUUUUUUUCCUUACAAAACCCUUAAUAAAACCUUUUUUUUUUAUUUAUAAGAAUGAGCUUUGCGUGCCUUGUGUGUCACAGUGUAGAGAGCCCGUCCCACUCCUUUAGAAGCUACUCCGUGUCUAGCUCAGACAACGAAGGAAGAUGCUCUGUGAUCGCGAGCUGCCUCACUAGGAAGUCACUUAUUCAAGCUGCAAGGUCCAACACUUUCCCUGCAUCAUCCUCAAAGGUAACCCCACAACCCAAUUUCCAGGCAGGCGAUCUGAUGAUUACACAAGGAGCCUCGCCACGGUUAGUGCGAAGCCGUGCAGGGAGAAAAGACUGGAACUUCAACGAAAUCGAGGCAGAGCUUUAAAAAACCAAAUCUGACUCUAUUCUCUUAUAGACUAGUGUUAGUUUGUUCAUCCUUCGGGUGAUCUUAGCAGUCUAUCUUUUGAGUUCUGUUCACACGAUCUUACAUUCAUCACUUGUCAAAUUUUGUACUCUUCUCACUACUUUAUAAACCAAUAAAUCUAUAAAAUUAUCUUUCACGUUUCCGACCGUUUAGUUUGGUCUAAAUCAUACGAGCCUGAGCUGGACAUGUUAACAACAUGUCAUUUGUCAAGACAUCUAUUCGGAUUUGUGAAAGAAUGAAUGUGAAUGUUUCUUUCUUUAAUUUUUUUGAUUAUUGUUCAAAAAUAACCAAAAAUUCUAAAGUUAAAGAAAGUGGAUAGUUCAGUCUUACCAAAAUCGCCUAUAAUAUAAAAGUUACAUAAUCCCUUUUAAACAAAUUGAGAGCAAAAACCUAAUUCUUUUUCGUCAUUUUAUAAUUGAUGUUGUCUAUCUUAUUUUGAUGAUUUGUGUCAGUCGCAAAACUUAAUUUCCUUUUGUGCAUAUGAAAUUUUAAAGUAAUUAAAAUGAGAUGUAAUGUUAACUCUUCAACAACGAUGAUACAUUUAAGAGAUUAACAUUUGUAUUGGUCAUCUUACAAUCAAUAAAGAUUGUAGAGUAACAAAAUAUUAAAAUCAUUUAAUGAACAAACAUUAAUAUAAAAGCCCAUAUACACAUGCGCAUGGAUUAUCAUCUAGUUUUUUUUAUUAUUGUUCAAAAGUAACCAAGGUACUAAAGUUAAAGAAAGUGGAUAGUUAAGUCUUACCAAAAUCGCCUAUAAUAUAAAAAGUUACAUAAUCCUUUUUAAAAUGUAUGUAAAUGAAACAAUACAGAGGAAUAAGAGAGGUAACACACACUAAUAUCUUAAGAUUACAAUAUUUGCAAGAAAGGAUUAAUCAUGGUUAAAUGUGCUACUUGAUAUUUGUAUAUUGAUAUAAUGAUAUUUUGCAUAGCAGCUAAACGAGAAACAAAACUAUUGAUAGUUGAUAACUAGUAUGUUUUCACUUUUCAUCUUAUCAUAUAAUCACAAAAGCAAACUUCAACACUUACAUUACACUAUUUUUUGUAACAAAAUAAUUUCUAGAAAUAUCAUAUGAUCUGGAUAUAUUAGCAACAAAUCAUUUUCAAGACCAUCUACUCGGAUGUGCGGAAGAAAUCAUGUGAAAGCUCUUUCUUUUAAGAAAGUAACCUAGAUAUUAAAGUUAAAUAAAGUCGACAGUUAAGUCUUAACAAAUUAACUUACUAUAUAAAAAUAACAUCUACGUGUGAAUAAUUAAACGUGAAUAAUAAAGAAAAGAAAAAAACGAUUUUGUUUAUUGAUUUACUAUAUAUACAUCAAAAUGAGAAUAAUUUUACUUUCAUGAAUAAUUUUAUGAAUCUAGAAGACUUAUUCAUCUGAUGACAAAAAAAAGAAAAAAAGAAAGAAGACUUACUCAUCUUCAUACCUUUUACUAAUAUUAUGAUUACGUAACAAUAUAUGCCAUGUACAAAUUUAGAAUCCACUCUAUCAUCUUACCACAUAUAAAGCACAUUUUAUAUUUAAUUAAUUGCUUUUUUUGCUCAAAAUGAAGAAUACGUGUUCGUGCUUACUUCAUCUUUAAAAUAGAAAUCAUUGAAUUAACUACAGAUCCUCGACAAAACCUAACGAAACAUUGGCCUUAAGUCCCCAAAAAUUUUGGAAAAAAUUACAUAGAAAAACCCCCAACAAAUUUUUUUUAGGCUCCCAAGUUUACCAAAAAAAAAAAAUUUUGCUGAAAUUUUUAAAAAUCGUUUAUAGCCCCCUAAAUCUCAGGUCGUAAUAACUAGCCUCAUACUUAUUUUACAAUAUGAAGUGUAUCUAUAUAUUCAUCUCAUUCACAAUGUAAAACUUAAAAACACUACUAAACCAGCAAUUAUACACACAGAAAACACUUGUGUUGUUCUUUCAAUGGAGCUCAUAACCCUGAUGAAUCCUAUCUUAGCACUGCUUGUUUUGCUCUUUGUUGUUCCCAAGAUGUACAACGCUCUUAUCAUCCUUGUGUGGCAGCCAUUUGUCUUGACAAGAAGAUUCAAGAAACAAGGAAUCUCAGGACCAAGGUACAGAUUCUUGUACGGAAACAUCGACGAGAUAAACAAGAUGAAGAUAGAAUCUCACCUUUCGAUUCUUGAUCCAAACUCCAAUGACAUCUUUCCUCGUAUUUUCCCUCAUUACCAACAAUGGAUGACUCUAUACGGUGCCGUUUUCACCAUCUCAAUCUUUCUACUCAUGUGUUUUUUUUUAACUAUGCGUGACACACACGUUUGUUUAUAUGGUAUAUAUGUCACUAGGAGAUACGUUUCUUUACUGGAACGGAACAGAGCCAAUGCUAUGCAUCUCAGAUCUUGAACUCGUCAAGCAAAUCUUGUCAAACAAGUCAGGUUUCUUUGUUAAAUCAAAGAUAAGGCCAGAGUUCUUUAAACUUGUCGGCAUGAAGGGAUUUGCCUUUGUCGAAGAUGUUGACUGGGUUCGCCAUAGGAGAAUCUUGAACCCUGCUUUCUCCAUCGAUAGGCUCAAGGUCAUGACGAAAGUGAUGGUGGAGUGCACACUGAGGGUGCUGGACAAGUGGAGUAAUGUUAAAAGAGAGCAGAAAAUGGAGAUGAACAGAGAGUUUAGGAGAUUAACGGCUGAUAUUAUAGCAACCGCUGCGUUUGGAAGCAGUUACAACGAAGGAAUCGAAGUGUUUAGGACACAAGAAGAGCUUAAGAAGUGUUUUGUUACAUGUCUCACUAACUUCUACAUCCCUGGAACUCGGUAAGCACAACUCUCAGUUCAUGUUUUUUUUUGUUCUGUUCAGACAAGAUUCUCAAGUUCUUGUUUCUUGUUGUCCAAGGUACCUUCCUACGCCUUCGAAUAUUCAUAUCUGGAAGCUUAAAUAGGAAGAUGAAGAACUCAGUCAAGAAGGUUGUAGAUUCUAGACUAGCAUCAAAACAAGAUUAUGGAGACGAUCUUCUUGGAAUCAUGUUGAAAUCUUGCGAGUCAGAAAGGAACGAAAGAAAGCUGAGCAUUGAAGAGAUCAUAGAUGAAUGGAAGACAUUUUUCUUCGGGGGAUACGAAACUAACUCGAAUCUAUUGACAUGGACCACCAUGUUGCUGAGCUUGCACCAAGACUGGCAGGAGAAGCUAAGACACGAAAUCUUCGAAGAGUGCGGUAAAGACAAGACGCCAGAUUCAGACACUUUCUCCAAACUCAAACUGUUAAUAAAAUGUUUACUUGUGGUUCAAGUAAAGGUUUUCCUUGUGGUUGAAGAAACUUAUUUAUCUCUUGUAGAUGAACAUGGUGUUCUUGGAGUCGCUUCGCCUGUACGGACCAGUAUCAUAUUUCUCCAGAGAUGCAACAAAGGAUCUGACGCUAGGGCACCUAAAGAUCCCCAAGGGCACAACGAUAGUUUUCCCUCUUAUGAAGAUGCACAGCGACAAGGCCGUUUGGGGAUCAGACGCUGAUAAGUUCAACCCGCUGCGAUUUGAAAACGGCGUUUCCAGAGCCGCUAGUCACCCAAACGCUCUCCUCGCGUUCUCAAUGGGACCAAGAGCUUGCAUUGGCCAAAACUUUACAAUGAUUGAAGCCAAGGUCGUGCUCACCAUGAUCCUUCAACGGUUCAGGCUUAGCCUCUCAGGCGAGUAUAAACACGCGCCGGUGGAUCAC
rnacentral:lncRNA from 1 species